rnacentral:rRNA from 1 species
CGGGAGUAAUACAUCGGAACGUGUCCUGUUNUGGGGGACAACCAGUCGAAAGACUGGCUAAUACCGCAUAAGACCUGAGGGUGAAAGCGGGGGAUCGCAAGACCUCGCGCAAUUGGAGCGGCCGAUGCCCGAUUAGCUAGUUGUGGGGUAAGAGCUUACCAAGGCGACGAUCGGUAGCUGGUCUGAGAGGACGACCAGCCACACUGGGACUGAGACACGGCCCAGACUCCUACGGGAGGCAGCAGUGGGGAAUUUUGGACAAUGGGGGCAACCCUGAUCCAGCCAUGCCGCGUGCAGGAUGAAGGCCUUCGGGUUGUAAACUGCUUUUGUCAGGGACGAAAAGGUUUUUGCUAAUACCAGAAACUGCUGACGGUACCUGAAGAAUAAGCACCGGCUAACUACGUGCCAGCAGCCGCGGUAAUACGUAGGGUGCAAGCGUUAAUCGGAAUUACUGGGCGUAAAGCGUGCGCAGGCGGUUUCGUAAGACAGAUGUGAAAUCCCCGGGCUUAACCUGGGAGUGGCAUUUGUGACUGCGAGACUAGAGUUC